rnacentral:rRNA from 1 species
AGUGAACGCUGGCGGCAGGCCUAAUACAUGCAAGUCGAACGGCAGCACAGCAGAGCUUGCUCUGUGGGUGGCGAGUGGCGGACGGGUGAGGAAUACGUGGGAAUCUGCCCAGUCGUGGGGGAUAACGUAGGGAAACUUACGCUAAUACCGCAUGCGCCCUUCGGGGAAAGCCGGGGACCUUCGGGCCUGGCGCGAUUGGAUGAGCCCACGUCGGAUUAGCUAGUUGGCGGGGUAAAGGCCCACCAAGGCGACGAUCCGUAGCUGGUCUGAGAGGAUGAUCAGCCACACUGGAACUGAGACACGGUCCAGACUCCUACGGGAGGCAGCAGUAGGGAAUAUUGGACAAUGGGCGCAAGCCUGAUCCAGCCAUGCCGCGUGAGUGAAGAAGGCCCUCGGGUUGUAAAGCUCUUUUGUCCGGAAAGAAAAGCGCCGGGUUAAUACCCUGGUGUCCUGACGGUACCGGAACGAAGUAAGACACCCGGCGUAAACUUCGUGCCAGCAGCCGCGGUAAU